rnacentral:rRNA from 1 species
GACGAACGCUGGCGGCGUGCUUAACACAUGCAAGUCGAACGGUAAGGCCCUUCGGGGUACACGAGUGGCGAACGGGUGAGUAACACGUGGGUGAUCUGCCCUGCACUUCGGGAUAAGCCUGGGAAACUGGGUCUAAUACCGGAUAGGACCACUGCCUGCAUGGGUGGUGGUGGAAAGCUUGUGCGGUGUGGGAUGGGCCCGCGGCCUAUCAGCUUGUUGGUGAGGUAACGGCUCACCAAGGCUAUGACGGGUAGCUGGUCUGAGAGGACGACCAGCCUCACUGGGACUGAGACACGGUCCAGAAACCUACGGGUGGCAGGAGUCGAUAAUUUUUCACAAUGGGGGCAACCCUGAUGCGGCGACGCCGCGUGGAGGAUGAAGGUCUUCGGAUUGUAAACUCCUGUCAUGCGAGAACAAGAAAGUGAUAGUAUCGCAAGAGGAAGAGACGGCUAACUCUGUGCCAGCAGCCGCAGUAA